GAUGAACGCUGGCGGCGUGCCUAAUACAUGCAAGUCGAGCGAACGGACGAGAAGCUUGCUUCUCUGAUGUUAGCGGCGGACGGGUGAGUAACACGUGGAUAACCUACCUAUAAGACUGGGAUAACUUCGGGAAACCGGUGCUAAUACCGGAUAAUAUUUUGAACCGCAUGGUUCAAAAGUGAAAGACGGUCUUGCUGUCACUUAUAGAUGGAUCCGCGCUGCAUUAGCUAGUUGGUAAGGUAACGGCUUACCAAGACAACGAUGCAUAGCCGACCUGAGAGGGUGAUCGGCCACACUGGAACUGAGACACGGUCCAGACUCCUACGGGAGGCAGCAGUAGGGAAUCUUCCGCAAUGGGCGAAAGCCUGACGGAGCAACGCCGCGUGAGUGAUGAAGGUCUUCGGAUCGUAAAACUCUGUUAUUAGGGAAGAACAUAUGUGUAAGUAACUGUGCACAUCUUGACGGUACCUAAUCAGAAAGCCACGGCUAACUACGUG
rnacentral:rRNA from 1 species